GCAUUAAUGGGGUAGUGGUAACCUGGGUCGUUGCCACGUGCAGCACAUCGACCCGCCGGGGGUUCGAUUCCCCCUUAAUGCA